AAUACACAGUGUUGAUGCUGUUUUAACACUAUCUGGUAAUAAAAUAACACUGCCAUGGCUAGGCCAGUGUUAUAUCCACGACAGUGUCAGUGUAAAACAAGGGUGUUAUCAGAUUUCACUCUGAGCGGUGUAAAUCAAGCCACGCCUCCACUAAACAUAUCCUGUCAGGGAUUUUACCGCCAUUUUCUUUCAAAGGAGGACUGAAGAGAGCAGAUGCUAGUUUGGUGAAAGUACACACUGAGUGCUUCAAAUCAUUCAGAAGAGAUGCUGUUUUUAGGACAGUUUAUUAAAGAAGACCUGACAUGGAUGACUUCCAAUGAGAAACGACUGCUAAUACUUAUAUAAAUUCAUUACAGAAGGACCCUACCAGACUAUAUUUGAAUACGGCAUACCCGUGAAUUCUGGAACUGUUAUUCCUUAACCCAGUUUGGAGGAUAAGAGCUUACCAACUAUAAAUAUGCUGAGGUGAUGUAUUGCAAAAUAGCCAACAUACAACAAUUAAAGGAUAAUUGCAGACUACAUCCUGAUGAAGAUAUGGAUGACCCUCUGUCUGGUCAACAGGAGUUUAAAUAUGGAUGGGACAGUUAUGUGGCAGCUCUUCACUGGCUCAUUCGCCUCUUGCUUUCAUUUGUGAAAGGAGGAAAGACUGGAGAGGGUCAAUGUGCAACUGAAGCUACUGAUUGUGCUGUGUAAGUUUUUUGGUAUUUUGUUCUAGUUAUUUAUUCAGCAGUUAGUUUGCUUGCAUUGUUCACCCCAUGUAAAUGCAUACAAGUUCAUAAAUACACAUCAAAUACAUUCAUCAAAUACACUCUUUUAAAACACUUAGGUGAUGAGCAUCAAUCCAUGCUUUGAGGUGGAUGGAUCAGCACAGCCCUGCCUGCUCUGCGUUGGGAACAAAAGUUGCAUCCAGAAUUUUUGCAUCAUUCUGGACCAAAAAGCCAUUCCCUGCAUGAUGAAGACCACUGAUGCAGCCUUCCACUACAUCAUGAGUAAAACAACUACAGAACUAAAUACCAGGUUGGAACGUGUUUAAGAAAAAUUAAACGUCUUUUGAAUUGAAAUGUCUGUUUUGUUAUGGAAAAAUCUUUAGUAUUGUGAAGGAGAACAUUUCUGCUUGCCGAUAAGGUAAUUGCAUGUAUUUUAAUGUUCAAGUUUUGAGUAGGGUGGCUAAUUUUUUUAACUCUUAUUUGAUUUAUUAAAGACCUUUAUAAUAAGUGGUUUUCAUGUCACUGCGCUGUGGUAUAAGAUAACUUUCAUUAUUCCAUACUGUAUUCUGUUUCUAAUUGUAGCUGAGGUAUUUAAAUAAACAGUGUUAAAUGCAAAGUGUUGUGUGUAUCAAUGUAAAUAUUAAAUGUGAUUUACUUUAAUAAAAAGAGGUUUUGCAAUAUUUCUUGUCAUUUUUCUUUUAUAGAAACAACCCAUUAGCAACAAAAGUGGCUAUUACUCAGUAUUUUAACACUUAACAUUGUUGAAUUCACAUUACACUGGUGUUGACCUUAAAUUAGGAGUGUUAAUUUUUAACACUGUAUUUCUGUGCCAACACCAGUGUAGUGUGGAAACAACAAUGAAUAGUGUUGAACAAAGUGUAAAAUUUAACAAUAUUGAGUGUUAAAUUAACAUAUAAUGGGUGCUGUUAAAUUAACACUACACUUUUGACUAAAUUAACACAGUGUAGUGUGGACACAUAUACACACUUUGCCGGUGUUAAAUUUGACACCGUGGGUGUUAU